rnacentral:tRNA from 1 species
GAAAUAAGAUAAACGAGAAUAAGCUUCUAACUUAAUUCUUAAGCAAUGAAAUUUUGUUUUUAUUUCU